AACGAACGCUGGCGGCAGGCCUAACACAUGCAAGUCGAGCGAGGACUUCGGUCCUAGCGGCGGACGGGUGAGUAACGCGUGGGAACGUGCCCUUUGCUACGGAAUAGCCCCGGGAAACUGGGAGUAAUACCGUAUGUGCUCGAGAGAGGAAAGAUUUAUCGGCAAAGGAUCGGCCCGCGUUGGAUUAGGUAGUUGGUGGGGUAAUGGCCUACCAAGCCGACGAUCCAUAGCUGGUUUGAGAGGAUGAUCAGCCACACUGGGACUGAGACACGGCCCAGACUCCUACGGGAGGCAGCAGUGGGGAAUCUUGGACAAUGGGCGCAAGCCUGAUCCAGCCAUGCCGCGUGAGUGAAGAAGGCCUUAGGGUUGUAAAGCUCUUUUGCCAGGGACGAUAAUGACGGUACCUGGAGAAUAAGCCCCGGCAAACUUCGUGCCAGCCGCCGCGGUAAUAC
rnacentral:rRNA from 1 species